rnacentral:lncRNA from 1 species
CGUUGACAACAUGGCAGCUCCUCCAGUGGCUCCUUGCUCAGAAGCACUCAUCAUCGAAAUUGAGCGGUGUCCAUGGCUAUGGAACGCAAGCCGUAUGGACUACAGGGACACUGGGCAGCGCAAAAAUUCCUGGAAGGCAAUUGGAAUCGCUUUCUGCAGCGACUCUAACACCUGCUGUCAGGCUUGGCUGGCCAUGAGGGCCAAGUAUGCGAGAGAAUCGAAGAAACAAAGAGGCCGGAGCGGUGCUGGCCGCGAUGGUCUUGCCGUGCCAACAUGGCACCUCUUCAAGUAACUGGCCUUCCUUAAGGGCCAGAUUCAGCACCGACGCACCAAAGUGCUCCCUGUUGCGGGGGGAGUGGCGUCCACUUCUGCAGCGGCAGCAGACGUUGAAAAAUGAGGCGUGAGCCCAGAGGCAAGUUUGCUUACACGAGAUCCUUGCGGAAAUGUAUUGCCCUGGAGAGACCGCAACCCCCGCAGAAAAUAGACAGCCUGGGAUGCCUGCUGAUGCCGAGAUGGAAGACAUACUGUAGCUUGAAGACAUACAUUUUAUUUAACAACUGCCUUCGAUAAGCAUGUUUGCAAGUGGCUCCUGUGUAAUUACCCUUUUCUCACUCUCCUCUUUCAUUUAAGCGAUUGGCUAUUCUUGGAGGCAGGUCCAAA